CAAUAGCGUAUAUUAAAGUUGUUGCGGUUAAAAGCUCGUAGUUGGAUUUCUGUUGAGAACGGCCGGUCCGCACUAUGUGCGUGUAUCUGGUUCGGUCUUGGCAUCCUCUUGGGGAACGGCGCUGCGCUUGAUUGCGUGGGUCGGUAUUCAAGACUUUUACUUUGAGGAAAUUAGAGUGUUCACGGCAGGCUUUCGCCUUGAAUACAUUAGCAUGGAAUAAUAAUAUAGGAUCUUGGUUCUAUUUUGUUGGUUUCUAGAACUAAGGUAAUGAUUAAUAGGGAUAAUUGGGGGCAUUUGUAUUAACGCGUCAGAGGUGGAAUUCUUGGAUUGCGUUACGACAAACUACUGCGAAAGCAUUUGCCAAGGAUGUUUUCAUUGAUCAAGAACGAAAGUGUGGGGAUCGAAGACGAUUAGAUACCAU
rnacentral:rRNA from 1 species